UCGACCUCGAAUCAGGUAGGGUUACCCGCUGAACUUAAGCAUAUCA
rnacentral:rRNA from 1 species